rnacentral:rRNA from 1 species
UACGUAGGGGCCAAGCGUUGUCCGGAUUUAUUGGGCGUAAAGAGCUCGUAGGCGGUUCGGCAAGUCGGAUGUGAAAUCUCCACGCUUAACGUGGAGGAGCCAUUCGAAACUGCCGUGACUCGAGUCCGGUAGGGGAGUGUGGAAUUCCCGGUGUAGCGGUGAAAUGCGCAGAUACCGGGAGGAACACCUGCGGCGAAGGCGGGUUGCUGGGCUGACACUGACGCUGCUGCGCGAAAGCCAGGGGAGCGAACGGG